AGACCCGAAACCCGGUGAUCUAGCCAUGGGCAGGUUGAAGGUUGGGUAACACUAACUGGAGGACCGAACCGACUAAUGUUGAAAAAUUAGCGGAUGACCUGUGGCUGGGGGUGAAAGGCCAAUCAAACCGGGAGAUAGCUGGUUCUCCCCGAAAGCUAUUUAGGUAGCGCCUCGUGAAUUCAUCUCCGGGGGUAGAGCACUGUUUCGGCUAGGGGGCCAUCCCGGCUUACCAACCCGAUGCAAACUGCGAAUACCGGAGAAUGUUAUCACGGGAGACACACGGCGGGUGCUAACGUCCGUCGUGAAGAGGGAAACAACCCAGACCGCCAGCUAAGGUCCCAAAGUCAUGGUUAAGUGGGAAACGAUGUGGGAAGGCACAGACAGCCAGGAUGUUGGCUUAGAAGCAGCCAUCAUUUAAAGAAAGCGUAAUAGCUCACUGGUCGAGUCGGCCUGCGCGGAAGAUGUAACGGGGCUAAACCAUGCACCGAAGCUGCGGCAGCGACGUUUAUGCGUUGUUGGGUAGGGGAGCGUUCUGUAAGCCUGCGAAGGUGGCCUGUGAGGG
rnacentral:rRNA from 1 species